AUUGAACGCUGGCGGCAGGCCUAACACAUGCAAGUCGAACGAGUGGCGGACGGGUGAGUAAUGUCUGGGAAACUGCCCGAUGGAGGGGGAUAACUACUGGAAACGGUAGCUAAUACCGCAUACCAUCGGAUGUGCCCAGAUGGGAGUAGCUUGUAGGUGAGGUAACGGCUCACCUAGGCGACGAUCCCUAGCUGGUCUGAGAGGAUGAACAGACAAAGUGGAACUGAUACACGGUCCAGACUCAUAAGGGAUGCAGAAUGGGGGAAUAUGGCAAUAUGGGCGCAAGCGUGAUGCAGCCGUGCCGGGUGUAUGAAGAAGGCCUUCGGGUUGUAAAGUACGUUCAGCGGGGAGGCGGGACCCGCAGAAGAAGCACCUGCUAACUCCGGGCCAGCAGCCGCGGUAAGAC
rnacentral:rRNA from 1 species